GUAGUCACUUUCACCACACAAAUACUAAAAUUGGAAUGAUACAGAGAAGAUUAUUAAGGCCUCUGUUCAAGGAUAACAUGCAAGUUUUUGAAGUGUUCCAUAUUUUU
ensembl:snRNA U6 U6 spliceosomal RNA